rnacentral:rRNA from 1 species
GAUGAACGCUGGCGGCGUGCCUAAUACAUGCAAGUCGAGCGAACGGACGAGAAGCUUGCUUCUCUGAUGUUAGCGGCGGACGGGUGAGUAACUCGUGGAUAACCUACCUAUAAGACUGGGAUAACUUCGGGAAACCGGAGCUAAUACCGGAUGAUAUUUUGAACCGCAUGGUUCAAAAGUGAAAGACGGUCUUGCUGUCACUUAUAGAUGGAUCCGCGCUGCAUUAGCUAGUUGGUAAGGUAACGGCUUACCAAGGCAACGAUGCAUAGCCGACCUGAGAGGGUGAUCGGCCACACUGGAACUGAGACACGGUCCAGACUCCUACGGGAGGCAGCAGUAGGGAAUCGUCCACAAUGGGCGAAAGCCUGACGGAGCAACGCCGCGUGAGUGAUGAAGGUCUUCGGAUCGUAAAACUCUGUUAUUAGGGAAGAACAUAUGUGUAAGUAACUGUGCACAUCUUGACGGUACCUAAUCAGAAAGCCACGGCUAACUACGUG